rnacentral:misc_RNA from 1 species
CAGUGUCGGCCGGCACAAU